rnacentral:lncRNA from 1 species
CCUGGAGACCGGCUGGGCAGGCCGCACCUCCCCGCUCCCACCCCUAGGGGUCCCCGCUGCCCCGUGGAGCAUCGCCUUCCCGCUACCUGCUCUCUGUUUUCUCUCCUCCUCCCGGGGAUCGAGCCGGCCGGGACUGGCGCCUGGGGCUGAGACUCCGAUAAGUGGUGUGUUCGAGGCUGCCCGGCUCGGGGGCGGCAUGGUCAGCCUUUCCGGGUGGCCCCGCUGCCUCGAAGCCUUCACUUAACAAGCGCACGAUGGCAGGAAAGAAGGGAAGAGUUGUUCAAGCCCAUCGGAUCUGCCUAGAGAGUUUUCAGCGCGCCCCUUUGAGGGACCGGAGAGGUGGUGCCUCUCCAAACCAGGGGCCACGGUGAACGGGACGGCUUUGGAUUUGGGAGAAAAGGAUUCUCCAACCGCCUAGCGCCAAUUUAAAAAGAAAUGAUGAUGAUGAUUGUUUUAAACAAGUCUUUCUCACUUUGAAUUUGGAAGCAGAUGCUUCUCCAUGUUUCUAUGGGACAGCUGGACUCCUUGGCAGGCAUUGAUUAGGAACUGACAGCAGAGACCCGAGUUUGUGGAUGUUCGGGCUGUUGGAACAGGAAUGGUUUGUGGUUCUGAGAGUUUCUGGAGAGGAUGCCGGCCGGCUGGCCAUGCUUGGCGAUCACCUCCAGGAUGAAGGCCUGCAUGGUGGCCUCCAGCGCUUGGUCCGUGAUGCUGGCUUCAUCCAGCCGCAGCUUCUCCCCACGGGACUUGGACCAGGCCUGACGCAUGGCCUGGGGGAUGAUGCGGGUCUCCUCACCGCAGCGCACUUCCAGCUUCACAGCAGCGUAUGGAAGAUUGGACUAGGGAGUCUAAUCAGAGCUGCAGCUGCCAGUCUCCACCACAGCAGAGGCAACACUGGACCCGAAGCCGCCUCUGCAAACUGUUUCAUGGCUCGUGGCAAUGCCAGAUCCUUAAUCCACUGAGCAAGGCCAGUGAUCAAACCUGCAUCCUCAUGGACACUAUGUCAUGUUCUUAACCCACGGAGCCGCAAUGGAAUCCACACACCUUCCUUUUUUGUUAAACUUUGGUACUCAAGUUCAUGUACAAGUUUGUGCUCUUAUGCAUUAGCCCCAUCCCCACCCAUAUACAAAGUUAAUUGCACCACAGGUGGUACAUUACUGUAAACACUCAAGUCAUUGACAAUCAGAUUCUUAAACUUUUGAUAAUUUAAACUAAAAGAUGGAAUCUGCAGUUACAUACACUUAAAUUAAAAGGUCUGUUAAAGUUAGGUUUAGAGCAGUGCAAAUAGUAAAGUGAGAGCAAGGCAAACACUUCAGAGAGAAUGAUGAUAGAGGGAAAUAAGAUGACAGGCCCCGAAGCCCCUUGUUGCUUGAGAAUGGUCUUGAUUCCUGGUAUUCUGAUGUUCAGUUUAGUUCCUUUUGAUCCUUACUCUUUUUUUUCCUUUUCUUGCUUGGAUUUUAUUUAAACAAAUAUUCAUUUACAUAAAUACCCC